GUGCCAGCAGCCGCGGUAAUUCCAGCUCCAAUAGCGUAUAUUAAAGUUGUUGUGGUUAAAAAGCUCGUAGUUGAACCUUGGGCCUGGCUGGCCGGUCCGCCUCACCGCGUGCACUGGUCCGGCCGGGCCUUUCCCUCUGUGGAACCCCAUACCCUUCACUGGGCGUGGCGGGGAAACAGGACAUUUACUUUGAAAAAAUUAGAGUGCUCCAGGCAGGCCUAUGCUCGAAUACAUUAGCAUGGAAUAAUAAAAUAGGACGCGCGGUUCUAUUUUGUUGGUUUAUAGGACCGCCGUAAUGAUUAAUAGGGACAGUCGGGGGCAUCAGUAUUCAACUGUCAGAGGUGAAAUUCUUGGAUCAGUUGAAGACUAACUACUGCGAAAGCAUUUGCCAAGGAUGUUUUCAUUAAUCAGGAACGAAAGUUAGGGGAUCGAAGACGAUCAGAUACCGUCGUAGUCUUAACCAUAAACUAUGCCGACUAGGGAUCGGACGGUGUUAUUCAUGACCCGUUCGGCACCUUACGAGAAAUCAAAGUGCUUGGGCUCCAGGGGGAGUAUGGUCGCAAGGCUGAAACUUAAAGAAAUUGACGGAAGGGCACCACCAGGGGUGGAGCCUGCGGCUUAAUUUGACUCAACACGGGGAAACUCACCAGGUCCAGACACAAUAAGGAUUGACAGAUUGAGAGCUCUUUCUUGAUUUUGUGGGUGGUGGUGCAUGGCCGUUCUUAGUGGUGGGGGUGACUUGUCUGCUAAUUGCGAUACGAACGAGACCUUAACCUGCUAAUAGCCCGCAUUGCUCCGGCAGUGCGCUGGCUUCUUAGAGGGACUUUCCG
rnacentral:rRNA from 1 species